ACCGUUGGCCUAUAAAAAAACCUAACAACCUUAGUUUUUGUCUUUGAUUCGACAGCAACCGCUGCUUUUAACCAUUCUCUCGUUCUUUUAGUUACAAAACAACAACAACUCUCCCUCUUUCCCUCUCUCCCUCAACGCAAGGCUGGCCACGAAAUCAAUUACUUGUUGUGGUCGGGUCGGUUAAACAGGCAUCCAAAUUUUUUCAGGGUCCCGCCUUGGGCCCAGCCAAUUCGGGUUGCGGCUUUCCUAAUCUCCUUUUUAACUCCACCGGGUAAAACGAUACGGAUAUUUGACUCAGUGAGUUUGUGAUCGAGUCAAAGGUGAGCGUUGGAGCUUAGGUGUGAGCAGGCCUGACUGAGUAAGAGAUCUCCGAGAAUGCUUGCAUCAAGCUAGUCCUCCACUACAACUUCCUUCUUUUUGCAACCUCUGGAGAUCUCUCUCGUCAUGAUUUUGAAGGUAGGGAAGUAACUUCCAGCAGCUGUUUGUGGAGCGUAAAGGGUCUCUUAGGAUUUCAAUUAGAAAAGAUAGAAACUUUUAGCAUUUGUUUUGCAUUUUGCUUGAAUUUGAAACAAUACACUGAUGACUUCAGGUAAGAGACUCUUUUUUGUUGCUUUUGAUGAAUCAGAUAAGAGGAGCAUUAUUUAGCUCUGUGGUGGGGUGUGCUAUUUCCUCCGUGCUCUCUACUGUGAAUAUUGUUUUAUCAGAUUUGCUUGGAGAAUGAUCAGAGCAAGAUGGAGGCAGUAAGCUACUCUUAAAAGGAGCCAUCAGCUAAUAUUGUUUUAUCAGAUUUGCUUUUCAUCAGAGAAAAUAGAUGGACCUCGCAGACUUUGAUGAUCAUCUUCGCCAUGUCACCAAGGACUGGCUGAACCCUGCAUUCCUCAGCUGUAGAACUGUCAGGCGAUGUACCUAUGCGCUUCAGUCUUCAUCAUUAUCAUCCACGGUUAGCUUUUGGAGACUCUCUUUUUUUGAGCUAUAGAGUCUGUGUUAAAAAAGUGUUUUCCAGAUUCACGAUAGAGCAAAAGUGCUCAAAGUACUAUACUUUUUUUGUACAUCUUGAGACACUGUGGUUAAAAUUUACAAGUAUGAUGAAACUUCUUCUUGUGAUCCA